UUCUGGGGUCUCUGAUUCUAGGAAUUGAAGUUGCCCUCAAAUUAUGAAGUUCUUCUUCGGAAAGUGUUCGAUGAUUGUACUAAGAGAGUUUGGCUGCAUAAAAGAACGGGUGGUUUUUGUUUGUCCAUUGCUUCAAAAGGGUUAGCAAUCACCAGGAUAGGUGAUUGAAGAUAUUGGAAUCAUAUCCCAACUGAAGAAUCUAGUUUAAGGUGAGUGGAAGCAUGAAGGCAAGCAGAUGUAGAAGCUGUCCAGGAAGCCAGACGUAAGAUAAAGCUUAAGAGAUAAAGCAGCACAACAAGCAUUAGGCCAUUGUGACUGAACAAAUAUGAGGUAAUGUUCUGCCUUACCAAAACAAUGGUUAAGGUUUUUGUAUAGAUAUUAUACGCUAGAUUUGAUUUACAGAUCUGGAUAACUACAAUAUAGAUGUUUAAAUUUAAACUACAAGAUCAACAUAAACAAAACU